rnacentral:ncRNA from 1 species
UUUGAGGUAAGUGCUGUUAUGUUGAGCAGAAUUCACCAAGCGUUGGAUUGUUCACCCACUAAUAGGGAACGUGAGCUGGGGUUAGACCGUCGUGAGACAGGUU